rnacentral:lncRNA from 1 species
GAAAAAAUAUCUAUAAUGAAAAAUGUUGUACAUCUCAAUUUAAAUUCUUAACAACCACUGGUUCUUUAACAUGUUCCAGGUCCAAGGUCAUCAGCUACUGUUUCCUGCCAGCAAAGCUAAGUCACUAAAAGUUAACUUUCAGGUUUUCCUACUGAUUUCCAUAAGCUUGUAAUAGUAGGCCAUGAAGUUAUCAAACCUUCAUCUGUGAAAAACUUAUCUAAAGUGGUUGAAAAAAUAGGAGAUGCACUUGAAAACAUCAGGUUGGGUGUAUUGAAAUAAAAUAAGAAUUACAUAAAGAAAUGAAAAGUACAAUGUCGGUCCCAUUGUUGGCUUCUGCUUAUCAUUCCUGGCUGAAAUAGAAACUUCAGAUAAAAGAAUUGACUUGUAAAUGUGAAAGUUAACUCCGUUUAUACAAAAAGCGUAUUUGCCUCCCUUCUUUUCAGAUGUGAAUUUUAAAAUCUGUAUUAUAUUUGUGUGUUUGGAGAGAAACAAAAACAAUAGCAAGAAGAAAACAGGAAAAUAAAUAUACGUAUGGAUCAAAAAGCAAUUUAGAUGGCAAUUGCUCGAGUAGCGAUGAAAUAGUUUCUGGUGCCAGACUAAGUCAUUUGGAUCCUUUGCCGCUGUUGUGUUGUAUGGGAUCCCAUAGGAAAACAAAGGGAAGUGCUUUUCAUUUUUGGCCACAGCGCUUGAAAAUAUACAAGGAAUGGGGAGGAAAAGAGGGUGACAUCAAUGGUCAUAAAAAUGUGACCUUCGGCUUGAUAGCAUAAGACAAAUAAAAGGUUUCCACAGCACCUGGCAUUUAAACAUUAAAGGAAAUUGUGAGCACAACCCACUCUUUUACAAUGGAGCUAAGUAUUAUUGUGUGUUUCCAAAUAUUCCUCAUACUCGUUUUGGUCACUGAAAACUCAGUGUGCUACCUCGGAGAAGGACAAAACCCUCAGAAGCUAUGCUGAACAGGAGUCGUCUUUGCCACUUUGGGUAAAAGUCCUGUGAAUUU